ensembl:lncRNA
GUUGGUUCGGGCAUGUCCGGCAGGUGGUUCUGUGGAGUGCAUCAGGUGGUUCCGGCAUACUCGGCAGGUGGUUCCAGCAUGUCCGGCACAUGGUUCUGGAACGUCUGAGCGGUGGUUCCGGCAUGCCCGGCAGGUGAUCCCGGAGAGUCCUCCAAGUGGUUCUGGCGUACCCCGCAGGUGUUUCUGGUGUGUCCGGCAGGUGGCUCUGGUGAGUCGAGCAGGUGGUUCCAGCGUGCUCGGCAGGUGGUUCAGGCAGGUCCGGCAGGAUUUUGCAGUCUGUCCAUGACGUGGUUCCGGCAUGCCCGCAAGGUGAUUCUCAAGUGUCCCCCAAGUGGUUUUGGCGUUGCCGGCAUAUGAUUUUGGCCUGUCAGUCAGGUGGUUCCGGUAUGUCCAGCAGGUGGUUCCGGCGAGCUCGGCAGGUGCUUCCGGUCUCUCCGGCACGCGGUUCUGGCACCUCUGAGAGGUGGUUCCGGCAUAUGCGGCAGGUGGUACCGGCGUGUCGAGCCGGUGGUUGGGGCAUGUCCGGCAGGUGGUUCUGGGGAGUGGAUCAGGUGGUUCCGGCAUACUCGGCAGGUGGUUCCGGCGUGUCCAGCACAUGGUUCUGGCGUACCCGGCAGGUGAUUUUGGCAUCUCCGGCAGGUGUUUCUUGCAAGUCGAGCAGGUGGCUCAAGCAUGCUCAGCAGGAGCUUCCGGCAUCUGUGGCACGUGUUUCUGGUGUGUCUGAGAGCUGCUUCUGGCAUUUCCGGCAGAUGAUUCCGGAGUGUCCACCAAGUGGUUCUGGCGUAGCUGGCAGGUGAUGUUGGCGUGACCAGCAGGUGGUUCCAGCAAGCGCGGCAGGUGAUACCGAAGUGUUCACCAACUGGUUCUGGCAUAGCCGGCAGGUGAUUUUGGCGUGUCCGGGAGGUGAUUCUGGCGAGUCGAGCAGGUGGUUCCGGCGUGCUCAGCAGGUGCUUCUGGUGUCAUUGGCACGUGGUUCUGGCAUGUCUGAGAGGUGCUUCCGGCAUGCCCAGCAGGUGAAUCCGGAGUGUUUGCCAAGUGGUUCUGGCGUAGCCGGCAGUUGAUUUGGCAUGUCCGGCGGUGGUUCUGGCGAGUCGAGCCGGUGGUUCCGGCAUGUCCGGAAUGUGGUUCCGGUCUGUCCGGGAGAUGUUUCCGGCCUGUCCGGCACGUGCUUCGGGCACGUCUGAGAGGUUGUGCUGGCAUGCCCGGCUGGUGAUUCUGGAGUGUCCGCCAAGUGGUUCUGGUGUAGCCGGCAGGUGAUUUCGGCGUGUCCGGCAGGUGGUUCUGUGGAGUGGAUCAGGAACUUCCGGCAUUCUCGGCAGGUGCUUCCGCCGUCUCCGGCAUGUGUUUGUGGCACCUCUGAGAGGUGGUUCCAGCAUGCCCAGCAGGUGAUUCCGGAGUGUCCGACAAGUGGUUGUGGCAUAGCCGGCUGGUGAUUUUGGCGUGUGCGGCAGGUGGUUCUGGCGAGUCAAGCAGGUGGUCCCGGCGUGUCCUGCAGGUGGUUCCAGUCUGUCCUGGAGGUGGUCCCGGAGUCUGUGCCGAGUUGUUUUGGCGUAGCCGGCAGGUGAUUUUUUCGUGUCCAGCAGGUGGUUCUGGGGACUGGAUCAGGUGGUUCCGGCAUACUCGGCAGGUGGUACCGGCGUGUCCGGAACAUGGUUCUGGCAAGUCUGAGAGGUGGAUCUGGCAUGCGCGGCAGGUGAUUCCGGAGUGUCCACCACUUGGUUCAGGUUUAGCUGGCAGGUGAUUUUGGCGUGACCGGCAGGUGGUUCCAGCAAGCGCGGCAGGUGAUUCCGAAGUUUUCACCAACUGGUUGUGGCGUAGCGGGCAGGUGCUUUUGGCGUGUUCGGCAGGUGGUUCUGGCGAGUCGAGCAGGUGGUUCCGGCGUGCUCAGCAGGUGCUUCCGGUGUCAUUGGCAUGUGGUUCUGGCAUGCCUGAGAGGUGGUUCCGGCAUGCCCACCAGGUGAUUCCGGAAUGUUCGCCAAGUGGUUCUGGCGUAGCCGGCAGUUGAUUUUACAUGUCCGGCGGUGGUUCCGGCGAGUCAAGCCGGUGGUUCCGGCGUGUUCGGAAGGUGGUUCCAGUCUGUCCUUGAGAUGGUUCCGGCCUGUCCGGCACGUGCUUCGGGCACGUCUGAGAGGUUGUGCUGGCAUGCCCGGCUGGUGAUUCUGGAGUGUCCGACAAGUGAUUCUAGCGUAGCCGGCAGUUGAUUUUGGCGUGUCCGACAGGUGGUUCUGUGGAGUGGAUCAGGAACUUCCAGCAUUCUCGGCAGGUGCUUCCGCCGUCUCCGGCAUGUGUUUGUGGCACCUCUGAGAGGUGGUUCCAGCAUGCCCGGCAGGUGAUUCCGGAGUGUCUGACAAGUGGUUUUAGCGCAGCCGGCUGGUGAUUUUGGCAUGCCCGGCAGGUGGUUCUGGCGAUUCAAACAGGUGGUCCCAGCGUGUCCGGCAGGUGGUUCCGGUCUGUCCUGGAGGUGGUUCCCGAGUGUCUGGCGAAUGGUUCUGGCGUAUCCUGCAGGUGAUUUUCGUGUGUCCAGCCAGUGGUUCUGGGGAGUGGAUCAGGUGGUUCCGGCAUACUCUGCAGGUGGUUCCGGCGUGUCCUGCACAUGGUUCUGGCACGUCUGAGAGGUGGUUCCGGCAUUCCCGGCAGGUGAUCCCGGAGAGUCCUCCAAGUGGUUCUGGCAUACCCCGCAGGUGUUUCUGGUGUGUCCGGCAGGUGGCUCUGGUGAGUCGAGCAGGUGGUUCCGGCGUGCUCGGCAGGUGCUUCUGGCAGGUCCGGCAGGUGUUUGCCGUCUGUCCAUGACGUGGUUCCGGCAUGCCCGCAAGGUGAUUCUGGAGUGUCCACCAAGUGGUUUUGGCAUAGCCGGCAUAUGAUUUUGGCCUGUCAGGCCACUGGUUGCGGCAUGUCCCGCAGGUGGUUCCGGCGAGCUCGGCAGGUGCUUCCGGGCUCUCCGGCACGUGGUUGUGGCACGUGUGAGAGAUGGUUCUGGCAUGCCCGGCAGGUGACUCCGGAGUCUCCGGCAUGUGGUUCUGGCUCCUCUGAGGGAUGGUUCCGGCAUGCCCAGCAGAUGAUUCCGGAGUGUCUGCCGAUUGGUUCUGGCGUAGCUGGCAGGUGAUUUUUGCGUGUACAGCAGGUGGUUCUGGGGAGUGGAUCAGGUAGUUCCGGCAUACUCAGCAGGUGGUACUGGCGUGUCCGGAACAUGGUUCUGGCAAGUCUGCGAGGUGGUUCCGCCUGCCCGACAGGUGAUUCCGGAGUGUCCGCCAAGUGGUUCUGGUGUACCCGGCAGGUGAUUUUUGCGUGUCCGGCAGGUUGUUCGGGUGUGUCUGAGAGCUGGUUCUGGCAUGUCCGGCAGAUGAUUCCAGAGUGACCACCAAGUGGUUCUGGCAUACCCGGCCGGUGGUUUUUGCGUGUCAGGUAGGUGGUUCUGGCGAGUCGAGCAGGUGGUUUCAGUGUGCUCGACAGUUGGCUCAGGCGGGUCUGGAAGGUGGCUUCAGUCUGUUCAGGGUGUGGUUAUGGCAUCUCAGGCACAAGGAUCUGGCACGUCCGAGAGGUGGUUCUAGCCGGCCCGACUGGUGUUUCCGGAGUGUCCACCAAGUGGUUCUGGCGUAGCUGGCAGGUGAUGUUGUUGUGACCGGCAGGUGUUUCCAGCAAGCCCGGCAGGUGAUUCCGAAGUGUCCAGCAACUGGUUGUCGCGUAGCCGGCAGGUGCUUUUGGCGUGUCUGGUGGUGGUUCCGCGGGUCAAGACAUUUUUCCGUCGUGUCCGGCAGUUGGUUCCCGUCUGUCCGGCAGGUGGUUCUGGGGUUUCCGGCACGAGGUCCUGGCACGUCUGAGAGGUUGUGUUCGCAUGCCCAUCACGUGAUUCUGGCUUGUCUGCCAAGUGGUUGUGGUGUAGCGGGCAGGUGAUUUUGGCGUGUCCAGCUGUUGGGACCGGUGAGUCAAGCAGGUGGUUCUGGCGAGUGUUUCCUGUGGUUCCGGUUUGUCCAGGAGAUGGUUCCGGCCUGUCUGGCACAUGCUUCGGGCACGUCUGAGAGGUUGUGCUGGCAUGCCCGGCAGGUGAUUCAGUAGUGUUCGCCAAGUGGUUCUGGCAUACACGGCAGGUGAUUUUGACGUGUGAGGUAGGUGGUUCCAGCGAGUCGAGCAGGUGUUUCCGGCAUUCUCGGCAGGUGGUUCAGGAGGGUCUGGCAGGUGGUUUCCGUCUGUUCGUGUUGUGGUUCCGGCAUCUCAUGCACAUGGUUCUGGCACGUCUGAGAUGUGGUUCCGGCCGGCCCGACAGUUGUUUCCGCAGUGUCCGCCAAGUGGUUCUGGCGUAGUUGGCAGGUGAUUUUGGCAUGACCGGCAGGUGGUUCCGGCAGGCCCGGCUGGUGAUUCCGGAGUGUUCGGCAAGUGCUUCUGGCGUAGCCGGCAGGUGAUUUUGCAUGUCCGGCAUUGGUUCCGGAGGGUCGAGCCAGUGUUUCCGGCAUGUCCAGCUGGUGGUUGCGGUCUGUAAGGCAGGUGGUUCUGGGGUUCCCGGCACGAGGUUCUGGCACGACUGAGAGGUUCUGCCAGCAUGCCCUUCACGUGAUUCCGGCUUGUACCCCACGUGGUUCUGGUGUAGCGGGCAGGUGAUCUUGGCGUGUCCGGCAUGUUGGACCGGUGAGUCAAGCAGGUGGUUCUGGCGACUGUUUCCUGUGGUUCCGCUCUGUCCAGGAGAUGGUACCGGCCUGUCCAGCACGUGCUUCUGGCACUUCUGAGAGGUUAUGCUGGCAUGCCCCGCAGGUGAUUCCGGAGUGUCCGCCAAGUGGUUCUGGCAUACCCGGCAGGUGAUUUUGCCAUUUCCGGCAUGUGGUUCCAGCGAGUCGAGCAUGCGGUUCCGGCGUGCUCGCCAGUUGGUUCAGGCAUGUCCGGCAUGUGGUUCCAGUCUGUCCGGGAGGUGGUUCUGGCAUGUCCGGCACGUGGUUCCGGCACGUCUGAAAGGUGGUUCUAUCAUGCCCGGCAGGUGAUUCCAGAGAGUCCACCAAAUGGUUUUGGCGUAGCCGGCAGGUGAUUAUGACGUGUCCGGCAGGUGGUUCAGGCGAGAUGAACACGUGGUUCCGACGUGCUCGGCAGGUGCUUCCGGCGUCUCUGGCACGUGUUUCUGGCACAGCUCACAGGUGGUUCCGGCAUGUCCAAAAGGUGAUUCCAGUCUGUCCAGCAGGUGGUUACGGCGAGUCGAGCAGGUGGCUGUGGUGUGUUUGGCAGGUGGUACCGGCGUGUCUGAGAGGUGGUUCCCGCAUGCCCGGCAGGUGAUUCCAGAGUGUCCGCCAAGUGGUUCUGGCGUAGCCCGCAGGUGAUUUGGGCAUGUCUGGCAGGUGGUUCCGUACUGUCUGAUAGGUCGUUCCGGCAUGUCGGGCACGUGCUUCUGGCACUUCUGAGUGGUGGUUCUGUCAUGCCAGGCAGGUGAUUCUGGAGAGUCGUGUAAGUGGUUCUGGUGUAGCCGGCAGUUCCUUUUGGCGUGUCCGGCAUGAGUGUCCUGCGACUCGAGCAGGUGGUUCCGGCGUGCUCGGCAGGUGCUUCCGGUGUCAUUGGCACGUGUUUCUGGCAUGUCUGAGAGGUGGUUCCGGCAUGCCCAUCAGGUGAUUCCGGAGUGUUCGCCAAGUGUUUCUGGCGUAGCCGGCAGGUGAUUUUGCAUGUCCGGCGGUGGUUCUGUUGAGUCGAUCCAGUGGUUCCGGCGUGUCCGGCAGGUGGUUCCGGUGUGUCCUACAGGUGGUUCUGGGGUGUCCGGCACGAGGUUCUCCACGUCUGAGAGGUUGUGUCGGCAUGCCUUUCAUGUGAUUCCAACUUGUCCGCCAUGUAAUUCUGGUGUAGAGGGCAGGUGAUUUUGGCGUGUCCGGCAGGUGGGACCGGUGAGUCAAGCAGGUGGUUCCGGCGAGUGUUUCCUGUGGUUCCGGUCUGUCCGGGAGAUGGUUCCGGCCUGUCCGGCACAUGCUUCUGGCACUUCUGAGAGGAAACUGAGAAAGAAGCGCAACAGAGGCUAGCUCAGGUGGCAAUCUUUAAGCAAAAGGAAAACUAAGGGCGUGGAGGCCUGGGGAAAAAGCAACACUGAGAAUUCUACCCUCUCAAACUGACGAAGAUGGGCAACAGACGCUAGCUUAGGUUCAAUAUUUGAGCAAAAAAAAAAAAACACACACACACAAGGGCGUGCGGAACUUGGGAAAGAGCAAGACUGAGAAAUCUAACCUCUGAAACUGACAAAGAUGGGAAACAGAGGCUUAGCUCAGGUGGCAAUCGUUAAGCAAAAGAAACACACAAGGGCGUGGAGACCCGGGUAAAAAGCAGCACGGAGAAAUCCACCCUCUGAAACUGACGAACAUGGGCAACAGAGGCUAGCUCAGGUGGCAAUCGUUAAGCAAAAGAAACACACAGGGGCGUGGAGACCUGGGGGAAAAGCAGCACGGAGAAAUCUACCCUCUGAAACUGAGGAACAUGGGUAACAGAGGCUAGCUCAGGUUGCAACCUUUAAGCAGAAAAUAAAAAGACACCAGGGCGUGGAGAGCUUGCGAAAAAGCAACACUGAGAAAUCUACCAUCUGAAACUGAAGAAGAUGGGCAACAGAGGCUAGCUCAGGUGGCAAUCGUUAAGCAAAAAUAAUAAAAAAUAAAAAAAUACAAUGGCGAGGAGACCCGGUGAAAAAGCAACCAUGAAAAAAGGUACCCUCUGAAACGGAGGAAGCAGGGCAACAGAGCCUAGCUCAGGUGACAAUCUUUAAGCCAAAAAAAAAAAAAGAAAAGAGCAAGGGAGUAGAGACCUUGGGAAAGAGCGAUACUGAAAAAUCUAGCCUCUGAAACUGACAAAGAUGGGCAACACACGUUAGCUCAAGUGCCAAUCUUGCAAAGAAAACACACACACUCACACACACACACUGAGGGACUUGGAGACCUGGGGAAAAAGCAACACUGAGAAACCUACCCUCUCAAACUGACGAAGAUGGGCAACAGAUGCUAGCUUAGGUUCAAUAUUUGAGCAAAAAAAAAAAAAAACACACACACACACAAGGGCGUGCAGAACUUGGGAAAGAGCAAGACUGAGAAAUCUACCCUCUGAAACUGACAAAGAUGGGAAACAGAGGCUUAGCUCAGGUGGCAAUCUUUAAGCAAAAAAAAAAACAAAAAAACAGAAAAAAAACCCCACAAUGGAGUGGAGACCCGGGGGAAAUCAACACUGAAAAAUACAAAUACAAUGGAAGGCCAAUAGACAGAGCAGGCACUUUCACCUGGGGAGGAGGAGGUACGCAUGGAUGACCAAUAAGCGCAUGAAAAGAUGUGAGCUGUUCCCUGGAAAAGCAAGUGAGAAAAUUAGAGGGAGACAUUGUGGGGACACAUGGGUGAGACUGGCUUCUUCCAAAUACAGGAACAGGAUCAAACUGCUAGUGAGGUCGCGGAGAAGCCAAGUCAGUCACUCACGCCUCACUGGUGGUGAAGGGAAACAGUAUGGCCUCUGUGAAAAAUGGCGUGGCGGGUUCCAAAACUCACACGCCGCGGAAACAACCACCGAAAGUGGCAACCUACAUAAGCCCUUGGUGUAUCUUGCCUCCUAAGAGCGUCUGUAUGUAGCUGGAGCCUUGGGUUGUUAAGGCUUCCACAGUGAUCUGUGGUGGUGGGGGGGGGCCUUGGGCCUUGGGGGUCUCCGCUGGACCUCCAGGAAGUCAGCUUCUGUGGAGUCCCGUGAGUCCUUCCAGGGAGGGAGGCAUCCAACCCGAGGGUGGUCUGGAGGGCACCACUCCCGCCACUCCCGGGGGCUGGGGCGGGGGGCGGGGUGGGGGCUGCGGCCACGUUCCUGUUCAUUCACACAGAAUCCGGGGCAUGAAUGUUCUUAGCAGCUCUGUUCCACACAGACCCACACUGGAAACCACACAGACGUCCUGCAAGUCCCAUCCCUUGCUCAUGUCGCCGGGGCUCCGGAGGAGGGCCACUCUGUAAAAGCGGCCGCCAGAUGGCGCCCAACAACCGGCGCGGAGGGGUCAGCGGGAGGGAACCGGGUCACCGGCCAGCGAGAGUGCACAGCCUGAGCCCACCGCCGGGUCAGGUCUCUCUCUGUCUACCUCUGUCUCUGUCUCUCUGUCUCUCUGUCUCUGACUCUGUCUCUCUCUCUCUUUCUCUCUGGGCCCGCUUGGGGCGGCCGGGAGGUCACCACGCGAGGCCCCAGGGUGUCCACCUCGGAGCUCCCAGGCAGCACAGGGCAACCCUGGGCGCAGAAGGAGGUCUUGGAAAAUCGGCGGGGAGGGGGGUGGGGUGGGUGGGCUUGCCAGGAAGGGGACAGACUCCCCACGUGACUCCUGGGCCGGGCCGGGGCUGCCGGCUGGCUGACGCGGACAGAGGGUGGAAAAGUCCCCGGAGAUGCCACGGGGCAGGCCGGGGCUGCCGGCCCCCGAUUCCCUGAGCGGCCCGAGCACUUCCCGGGUCCCGGGAGGACUUAGAAAAUCAGGGCGGGGUGGGGGGUGGGGGUCGCUGUCAAACCGAAACCACGCACGUCAUCAGAGAAGGACCGUGACGACGGAGGAAUUGUCCGCAGUCUGUCAGGAAUUGUGUGCAGCCUGUCACUUCCGGCCCAGAGGGUCUUUCUAAGGCAGACGGACAGACAGAGCCCACAAGUCGUAGAGGAAAGGACCGAGCCGCUUGGCCGCUGAAAAGUUUACAAGACAAAACGGGUCUCCCUCCGCACGGGGCCACAGCAAAGCCCAAAGACGACACACGGGGGGAGCAUGGGUGCAGAUUCACGUGUGGUGAUAAGAAUAUGGAUUUCAGCAGGGCUUCCCGUCCUCAUCAACAAGCAGAAGCACCCAAAUGGUGCGGGUUGGGGGCAGAGACCUCACAGCCAUUCCCUCCACAAAUCGAGUUCCCCGGGACAUCCUCACAGCGCCGUGCUGUGAGUGUGUGUGGGUGUUUAAAAUGGGGUAAAUGUGGACGUGGAACUGCUCCGGUGAAACCAAAAUAACAACAGUCGUAGAUCUUCUUUGGUCAUUUAGAAAAUUCUUUCCCCCCCCCCCCCCAGCGGUGCACGUAUUUCCCUUCCAAAAAAGAAGAACGGGAAAGGAGAUGUUAAAGGCAAGCAGAGAGAGGAAAACUGUUGCAAAACAAAAGCUGAGCUCCCGUCCGAGGGAGGCCUCCUCCGUUAGAGGGCCUAGGAAAUCAUUCUGACAAAAUGGAGGAUCUCUGUCUUUGGUGUCGAUUCCCUCAGAGGUCAAGAGAAACCUUUUCCAAUGUCUUUACCAGGAGGAGACUAGAAGUUAGAGAAAAGUAUCCUUUCGAGAGCGAGAAAAACCAAUUCUGAUUUUGCAUCAGCUUCCCUCCGAUCUUGAAACUCAUUGACUUGAUUCCAUUCUGUCGAUGGAAAUAAUCCGGAACCAAUCUAUCCGUGAAAAUCGGGGUGAGUUUAUUCUGACCUAAGAUGUGAGGACUGUGGCCCGGGGCCUUUCUUCCCGAAGGAAGAAAGGGCGCCCGGGAAGUGGGGUGUACAGAGUGCUUCUAGACCCCCAGAGAGGACGUUUCACAUAGGAUCGAAAGGUCCCUUGGACGAUAGUCGCGACACUGCUCUGUCAGCACAGCGAUCGACAGACACUGCUGGGUGGCAGGUCUGUUGUCUGGGCCUGGGUGGUCACAGGUGAGCCGGAUGGUCAAAGGUGAGCGCAACCAUCCGUUCCUAGCCUAAGGAAAGAUGCCUCUCCUUAAGGAAAGGCCCGAGCACGGGGAAGCUGCUCCUUUCCCUUAAGGGCAUUGGUUCUUGCCGUAGGAAAUGUUUAAAGCAGAUCUACGAUGCGAUGCGUGCUCGACGGCCACGUCAGGCCCUUUUGGAAAAACACUGUCAGGCCGAAUUAGGCCGACACCCAAUGGCUUCCUCAUAGACUCCAAUAGAUCCUAUCGCUCGCCAUUUCUAUCUGUCCACUCGUUCCAAUUUUAGGCCACUUGACCACGAACAGACCUUUUUCUCAGAUUUUUUUCCCCGUGAUCACCUUUUCACAGACAAAACGAUCUUUACUUUUUAGGCCCUCUUGCCUGAAGGCAGCCAUCUCACUUUCCUUGAACACAAAGAUGUUUCCCAUAUUCACUUUUAGUGGCUUUUUGUUUUGUUUUGUGUUGUUUUGUUUUGAGGACGAUGAGCCCUGAGCUAACUGCUGCCAAUCCUCCUCUUUUUGCCGAGGAAGGCUGGCCCUGAGCUAACCUCCGUGCCCAUCUUCCUCUAUUUCAUAUGUGGGACGCCUACCACCACGUGGCUCGCCCAGCGGUGCCACGUCCACCCCCGGGAUCCGAACCGGCGAACCCCGGGCCGGCGAAGUGGAACAGGCACACUUAACCAGCGCGCCACUGGGCCGGCCUAGUGGCUUUCAUCGCAUUCGUUAAGUAGAAUUUUUAACCCUCACGAACCUUAAUUUUGGUGAAAACUAAGAAGUCAGCAAUUAGGAACUGUCCUUCCCAUGAGCAGUCUGUCGCUUGGCCAAUUUCUAAACACUUGGCCACUUUUAGAAACAUGGGAUUUCAUAGGUUUAUCUCUUCCUUCGCUUUAUUUGAUUUCAUCUCACUUUAGUUUUUGGGUGAGGAAGAUCGGCCCUCACAGAGUUAACGCCUGUUGCCAAUCUUCCUCUUCUUUCUGCUUGAGGGAGAGCGGGCCCGAGGUAACACCUGCGCCCCACUUCCUUGAUCUUGCGGACGGGAUGCCGCCACAGCCCGGUGUGAGGAGCGGUGGAGGUCCACGCCCGGGAUCUGAACCCGAGGACCCCAGGCUGCCGAAGCUGAGUGCAGGAGCUUAACCACUAUGCCGCCGGGCCGCCGUCCCCUGUCAAAGCUUUUAAUAAAGCACGAGACGUGUUCCUCGAUAGACCCAAACGUCUUUUCGUUUCCGUAUCCUCACAAACCCAAAGUAGAUAAACUUCUAUUUAGCCACUCACGUCUCAGGUUCUAUCUUACUAGGAAAUGAUCUACAUCGUCAGGGAAAUUGUUUUUGUCUUAAGUUUGGCACCCGAGCUAACGACUCUUGCCAAUCUUCCGUUUUUGUUUUUUUCCCCCCCUCCCGAUUUUUCUCCCCAAAUCCCCCCCAUGACAUAGUUGUCUAUCUUAGUUGAGGGCCGUUCUAGUGGUGGCAUGCGGGACGCCGCCUCCACACGGCCCGACGAGCGGUGCCGUGUCCGUGCCCGGGAUCUGAACGGGCAAAACCCUGGGCCGCCGAAGGGGAGCGUGUGAACUUAACCACUCGGCCACGGGGCUGCCCCCGUCCGUGGACUUUUUUAUCACCUGAUUUCACCUCGCAAAACUUCAAAGCUUCAAGUUAUCAGAGAGGUUUGGGAAGUUGUUUCUAUUUAUUUAAUUAAUUUAUUUUUCGAGGAAGACGAGCCCCGAGCUGACACCUGCUGCCAAUUCUCCUCUUUUUGCCCCGGGAGAGUGGUCCCGAGCUAACAUCCGUGCCCAUCCUCCUCCCGUUGAUAGGCGGGACGCCGACCACAGCAUGGCUCACCAAGCGGCGCCACGUCCGCACCCCGGAUCCGAACCGGCGAACCCCUGGCCGACAAAAUGGAACGUGCGAACAUAACUGCUGUGCCGCCGGGCUGGCCCUUCGGGAAGUUCUUUUCAGGACACGGGCCAUAAACUAGAAUCACCGCUACAGGUUUAUCGGAGCGACAUCAGCGUUCGUGGUGGAUUGAGUCGUCCCCUCUGUCUCUCCCCUCCAGGGGACAACCAAAGGGACGUCUAUCGACCCACCCACCAAGGAUUCCCCCCCGCAUGGCACAGCAGGAUGCCUGAGAGAUCCACGCAGCCCUACAGCGGCAAGUCACAUUCGCACAGUCAAAAUUCAAUGGCAGAGGGGGCUGGCCCCGUGGCCGAGUGGUUAAGUUCGCGCGCUCCGCUGCAGGCGGCCCAGUGUUUCGUGGGUUCGAAUCCUGGGCGCGGACAUGGCACUGUUCAUCAGACCACGCUGAGGCAGCGUCCCACAUGCCACAACUAGAAGAACCCACAACGAAGAAUACACAACUAUGUACCGGGGGGCUUUGGGGAGAAAAAGGAAAAAAUAAAAUCUUUAAAAAAAAAAUUCAAUGGCAGAGACAAAACGUUAAGGUCAGCGAGAGGGAAGAGAAUAACCGGCCCAGGAGCAACGGUGUGAAGAACAUGGAGAAGACGGGUCCUAGACGCUGGGGUCCCCGGAGCAGCGAUUUCAUCAGAGGCCCGCGAACGUCCACGAUCUCCACACCACGUUUAUGGCCGACUGCGUGUGUGGGUCCUUUGGAAUCGACCAGGCUACUGUCUGGGCCACUUUGGGACAUCGUGUCUAGCUGCCCCGAGCGGUGGAGCUGUCGUUCGAGUGUAAGAUGGGGCCCAUCCGGGGAGAGCAUGGGGACGGGGAAAGGGAGGCCGCGGGAAGUCACAGAGUCUGAGGUGUUCGGGGGAGACCGACUCUUCUAAAGUGGAGGCGGUAGAAGGAGAGCAGCAGGAUUUUUGGAUUUUUGUUCUCUCUGUUAGGUAUCUGGGUCCGGAGGAGAGUGGGGCGGGGGGGGAUGGUUGUGGUGGUGGUGGUGGUGGUGGUGGGUGUGAGGCUGAGGCAGGGCUGGUGUUUCCUUUCCGGGUCAGGUGAAAGAGCUCCUCCAGUGGAGGUUUUUGGACAAGGGGUCUGGUCUGGCAGGAUGGGAGGUUGCGGGUCGAGCCACAGGGGAAUCUGUCGUAGCUCAGACUCGGGCCUUUGAAGAAAUAGACAGAGAGAGGAGUUUUGCUCUGUCUGUCACCGCAGCCGGCACCUCAGGAGCAACAACAGAAGGCUUCCCGAAUGAGUGAAGGGGCAG